rnacentral:lncRNA from 1 species
GAUAUUCUAAAAUUUCAUGAAUGCGAAAUCUAGACUGAAUUCAGACGGCUACAUGUGGUAAAAUUUGCUUAUGAAAUUUAUGUUUUGCUUCUAUGCAUGCAUUGUAUAAGGCACAUUGUACGAAUUAUAAGAAUAACAAUAUUUUUGAAAAUAUGGUAAGUUCAGUUACAAUAUAUUCUAAAAAUAUUUGGAAAUCCUUUUACUUUCCUAAAACAGUGUUUCAGCUAUUUUUCUUGCUCAAAACUAAAAUUAAAAAUAAUUUUCAAUUAUUUAUUUUGAUUUAUUUUCUAAAAAUCGAUUUUCAAAAAAAAGUUAUUUUAUUUUAAAUUAUUUUUUAAUAAUAUAUGUAGAUAUUUAAAAUUAUAAUCUUAGAUAUAUUUUCAUUUAUUUAUUUUUAUUAAGAUAUAUUAAAUCCAAUUGUACAAAAUUAAAAAAAUGAUAAUUUUUUUUAUAAUCAUCAAAAAAGAAAACUAAACAGAAUUGAUAUUUUAAAUUGAUUUGGGGAUUAUUUAUUUAUUUAUUUAUUUGUUUCUUUUUAAAAUUUUUUAAUUAUAUUUUAAUUCAAUUUUUUUUGUUUUCUUUUUCUUUUUCUUUUUGGGUCAAAAUUUAUUUUUGUUUUUAAUUGAUAUAUAAAAGUGAGUUUUUUAGUAGUUAAUUGAUAAAGUAAGAGUAAGAUUGGGGAUUUUAAAAAGUAUUAUAUUAAAUGGACUGAUUUAGGUUGCUUUCAUACUAAAGACACAAAGAGAUUGUUGUUUUGUUUUAUUUUGGCAAAUUUUCCUUGUUUUUAUUCUAAACAGCUUGUAGGUUUGGUUUAACCAUAUUUAACUAUACGGUUAUCGUUGACAAAAAAAAACUAUACGAUUAUCAUGAUUUUUAACUUAAAAGGAUUGGUGGUUUCGUCCCAGAUUUAACUAUCAACUAGAGUUUGAACCCGCACGUCCGUGCGGAUAUUUUUUUCUUUUAUAAAUGUAUAAUUUUGAUAUUAAAUUUAUAUUUUAGUUUUAUAUAUUAUGUA